rfam:Ailuropoda melanoleuca scaffold1367_46, whole genome shotgun sequence.
UGUGGGCCCGGGGGUCCAUAGAUGACAUGUCAGUCGAUAGGUAUUUACUCUACUGUUCGAGGAAAACAAAUAAGGGUGUAGCUUAGACGAAAAGAAAAACGUUUUAUUGCCAGUGUCUAAACUAACAACGGAAUGUGUCUAAGACCUUGUGAAUGGAUACACGUGUACUUAAAACAGCCUCGCCUG